rnacentral:rRNA from 1 species
UACGUAGGGCGCAAGCGUUGUCCGGAAUUAUUGGGCGUAAAGAGCUCGUAGGUGGCUUGUUGCGUCUGCCGUGAAAGCCCGUGGCUUAACUACGGGUCUGCGGUGGAUACGGGCAGGCUAGAGGCUGGUAGGGGCAAGCGGAAUUCCUGGUGUAGCGGUGAAAUGCGCAGAUAUCAGGAGGAACACCAGUGGCGAAGGCGCCGCUCUGGGCCGUGACUGACGCUGAGGAGCGAAAGCGUGGGUAGCAAACAGG